rnacentral:lncRNA from 1 species
CCUCCCCACCGUGCGGCCGGCACCUGUGACGUCACAGCCAGCACCAGCUGACGGCACGAUGGAGGAAGCGCCGGAGGGGCGGGGACCGCUGUAUUAAACAAGGGGUGGGACUCCAACAAGGGGGUGCGGCCUUCUGGGAAACCUGGAGUUCAGGGCUGGGGUAGAACUGCAGGGGAUAAAGCCGAAGUCGUUGUCUAAAGGCUGCAAACAAUUGUUUUUUGACGUGGUCAAGGUAAACUGCCCUUCAGCCUCCAGGAGAUUGAUUUCAUGAGCAGAGGUUUCCAUGUGGAAGCGGGCACUCUGUAACUCAGGGAUAACAAACCAAUCUGUGGUAUUGCACUAGGGAGAGAUCAGUCACCAAAGGAAAAGCAGGGUGUGUAAUAUACAGGAGUUCACAGACAGACCUACUGUUGGAUGAAAUCCUUCCAUGUGCUGAAAUGGGCUGCUGGGGGAAGCAAAAGGCCAUGCACCAUCACAUACAUGGCCUUCCUGCAAAAAAUAGAAAGAAGGGAAACAAAUUUAUCUUGCCAUGAAUAUUCAAGACAAAAACAAAAAAAGUGUUUUCUCACCUCAUCCUGCAAAGAACCUCACAUUUCCAUUUUAAUUGGGGAACUUGUAUUCAUCACUGAUGAUCCAUCUCAAUAUCUGCCUUCAAAUAUUCAGCAAAUUGCAAAUCAGUCCAAGACACCUAGAGGCAUAAAAAAUACCUGGAAAGACCUAAGCCAAGCCACACACUGUGCAGAUUGGAGGGCUGAACCUGCAUCUUACUACAGUCAGUGGGUGAGCUCCGGAAGACUGCCAAUUCAGUAGCUCUAAGACAAAUGUGGGAGGAAGUAGAAGAAGAAGAAAAGUAGUUUCUCUGCCAUCAGUACCAUGGAAGUAGAUACAGCAAAGAAAAAGAGUGAGACAGGGCUGCAUGGGGACACAAUAUAUACUAUAGUAGGCAAAGAAGAGCAAACAGCAGCUACAAAUAUAAGAAGCAAAAGAACUUGAUGGGAAAAAAGAAUACGAGUAACUGUAGUAAAGUCAGUCUUAUAUUUUCAGUAGUGCUUAAAUGUGAUGUGAUUCAAGCAAAACCAGAGAAGUCUUAGCAGACAUAGAUAUACAUAAGAAGAUUCAGUUUAAAAUCAAGUAAAUAAUUGCAGUUUAGGAAAGGAGCAC